rfam:Acidobacteria bacterium 13_1_40CM_3_56_11 13_1_40cm_3_scaffold_10492, whole genome shotgun sequence.
GCUGGCGUAGCUCAGUUGGUAGAGCAGCUGACUUGUAAUCAGCAGGUCGGGGGUUCAAGUCCCUUCGCCAGCU